rnacentral:rRNA from 1 species
CCCUUAGAUGUUCUGGGCCGCACGCGCGCUACACUGAUGCAUUCAACAAGCCUAGCCUUGACCGAGAGGUCCGGGUAAUCUUUGAAACUGCAUCGUGAUGGGGCUAGAUUAUUGCAAUUAUUAAUCUUCAACGAGGAAUGCCUAGUAAGCGUGAUUCAUCAAAUCGCGUUGAUUACGUCCCUGCCCUUUGUACACACCGCCCGUCGCUCCUACCGAUUGAUUGUGUUGGUGAGGAGCUCGGAUUGGCAGCAGUUGGUGGUUCGCCACCGGCUAUUGCUGAGAAGUCCUCCAAACCGCCCCAUUUAGAGGAAGGAGAAGUCGUAACA